rnacentral:tRNA from 1 species
GCCGGGGUGGUGGAAUGGUAGACACGCAGGCCUUAGGAGUCUGUGCUGACAACAGCGUGUGGGUUCAAGUCCCUCCCCCGGCA